GACUAUUUUAUAUUUCUUUUUUUUUAUGUUUUUUUUUUAUAUUAUCUUUGGAUAUAAUCUACAUUUGACAUAUAAAUUAUAUAAUUUUAAUAUUAAAAAUUUAUGGAAUUAAAGGUUAUUUAGUUUUUUCAUUUUUAAUUAUUUUUUUACUUAAUAUUAGCUGAAAACAAAAAGAUGUGACAUGCAAUAUUUUUUCAUGUUAUAAAAAUUUGACUUUACAUUAUCACGUGAUUUUCUUUUCAUUUUAAUGUUACAUGCGAUGUUAUUAAUUUACUAUAGAAAACGAUGGCAUUAAUACUGGAAUUAAAACUUAAUUUUAUUAUCAAAUUAAGAUAAAUAGAAUAUAAAUAAAACAGUUAUUAUAAAUAAAAUAUAAAAAUCUAUAUUUUUCAAUUUAAUCACUCAUACCUAUAUAAUGUAGAUAAUUACGAAAUGAUUAUAAUAUGAUUUUGGUAGAAACUUUAUCAACUAAUGUACAUCAUUCAUACGAAAAUUUGAAUUUGUGAAACAUUUUUAGUAAUAAAGGAAAUAGCAUAUUGGAAUUUUUAUAGGGAUUUUUGCAAAUUAUAUUAGUUAAUUAUAUUUACGUUGAAUGAAUGUCCAGCAAUUUUGCUUCGAAAAAAAAGAGAAAUCAGUUAAAUCAAAUGCGGUAUAUAGUGAAUUCUGAUUUAUCCACAUCAAUGAAUUUUGCGUUGAUCCAUUCAAUCUGGAUGACAAACUCAUACAUAUUAAUAUGUAUUUAUUUAUAAAAUAGGAUGAAUUAAAAAAAUUUUAUAAAUAUUUAUUUAUUUAAAAAUUAUAAGGAUAUGAUAUGAAAAAAAUGAUUCUAAUAGUAUUCUAAUAGUAUUUUAGUAUUCAACAAUUAAUUUACACAUCACAAGUAUCUUCAUGACAAUACAGCUUAUGUGAUAAAAAUUGUUUCUUAUCGAAUAAUUAUGUAUGAAGCAAAAACAAAAAAUAUUAGAAUUUUUUAUAAGAAUGUUAUUUAAAAAUCAAUUGAAGAAGAACUGCAAAGAAAAUAUAUUAAAUUUAUAUUUAUUUGUUUUAAAAAAAGAAAAAAGUUUUUUAUAUUUUAAAAAAAUAUAAAAAUAUAAAUAACAUGAUUAUAACAAUAUUAAGUAGUAAUAAAUUUGGAAAAAAAUAUAUAAAAGAUAUAGAAAGAUAUAGAAAAAAAUAUAUAGAAAGAAAUAUAAAAAAAAUCAUAAAUGUAAAAAAUUGAGAAGGAACAAAAAACAUUUUAAAUAUGCAAAUUGAAUUUAAAGAAAGAAUAUCUGAAAAAUAUCAAAGGAAUAUUGAAAAAUUACUGAAAUUAUGAAUUAUAUAUAUUUGAAAUUAAUCACACUUGUAUUAAUGUUUUUAGUGGAUGAGAAGUUCAAUAAAUAUAUGUAUGUAAAAUGUUUUUUCGACAUAUAA